UGCCUCAGUAACGGCGAGUGAAGCGGCAAAAGCUCAAAUUUGAAAUCCCCCGGGAAUUGUAAUUUGAAGAGAUUUGGGUCCGGCCGGCGGGGGUUAAGUCCACUGGAAAGUGGCGCCACAGAGGGUGACAGCCCCGUGAACCCCUUCAACGCCCUCAUCCCAGAUCUCCAAGAGUCGAGUUGUUUGGGAAUGCAGCUCUAAGUGGGUGGUAAAUUCCAUCUAAAGCUAAAUACCGGCGAGAGACCGAUAGCGAACAAGUACAGUGAUGGAAAGAUGAAAAGCACUUUGAAAAGAGAGUGAAAAAGUACGUGAAAUUGUUGAAAGGGAAGGGCUUGCAAGCAGACACUUAACUGGGCCAGCAUCGGGGCGGCGGGAAACAAAACCACCGGGGAAUGUACCUUUCGAGGAUUAUAACCCCGGUCUCAAUUUCCUUGUUGCCCCGAGGCCUGCAAUCUAAGGAUGCUGGCGUAAUGGUUGCAAGUCGCCCGUCUUGAAACACGGACCAAGGAGUCUAACAAUCAUGCAAGUGUUUGGGCCCAAAACCCAUACGCGCAAUGAAAGUAACCGGAGCGAACCUU
rnacentral:rRNA from 1 species